rnacentral:rRNA from 1 species
GACUGCAGUCGACGAGAAGUUCCCUUCGGGGAAUGAGUAAAGUGGCGCACGGGUGAGUAACACGUAGGUAAUCUACCUUCGGGUGGGGAAUAACCCAGGGAAACUUGGGCUAACACCGCAUAAUGCAGCGGCACCACAUGGUGACAGUUGUUAAAGCGGGGGAUUUUAGAACCUCGCGCCUGAAGAGGAGCCUGCGGCGGAUUAGCUAGUUGGUAGGGUAACGGCUUACCAAGGCGACGAUCCGUAACCGGCCUGAGAGGGCGGUCGGUCACACUGACACUGACAUACGGGUCAGACUCCUACGGGAGGCAGCAGUCGGGAAUUUUGGGCAAUGGGCGAAAGCCUGACCCAGCAACGCCGCGUGAAGGAUGAAAUCCCUCGGGAUGUAAACUUCGCAAGAAUGGGAAGAAUUAGUAGGGGCUAAUACCCCCUAUGAUGACGGUACCAUUUGUAAGCUCCGGCUAACUCCGUGCCAGCAGCCGCGGUAAUACGGGGGGAGCAAGCGUUGUUCGGAUUUACUGGGCGUAAAGGGCGCGUAGGCGGCCAGCGCAAGUCAGUUGUGAAAUCUCCGGGCUUAACUCGGAAAGGUCAACUGAUACUGCGCGGCUAGAGUGCAGAAGGGGCAACUGGAAUUCUCGGUGUAGCGGUGAAAUGCGUAGAUAUCGAGAGGAACACCUGCGGCGAAGGCGGGUUGCUGGGCUGACACUGACGCUGAUGCGCGAAAGCCAGGGGAGCGAACGGGAUUAGAUACCCCGGUAGUCCUGGCCUUAAACGAUGGAUGCUUGGUGUCUGGAGUUUUAUAGUCUCCGGGUGCCGCAGCUAACGCGUUAAGCAUCCCGCCUGGGGAGUA